rnacentral:ribozyme from 1 species
UGUGGAAGAUUUAAAAAAGGAGGCCAAAAAAGAAGGGUUGUGGAAUUUACAUCUCCUUGGUGAGAGGUUUCUUUUUCUUUUGUCUUUUUCUUUUUAUUAUUUUUUUCUUUUUAUUUUUGUAGUGGGUUGACCAACUGCGAGUACUGUCGUAUUCUUGAGAUUUGUGGCGUAAUCUGUGGGGACAAGAAGUUUUCAACGUCAAUUUUCCAGAUACUGGUAAUAUGGAUGUCUUUCACUUUUUUGGGACUGAGGAACAAAAAAGAAAGUGGUUGGUCCCACUUGCAAAUGGUGAAAUUCGCUCUAGCUUUGUUAUGACCGAACCUGGACUAGCUUCAAGUGAUGCUGUACAAAUCUCUACUUCCAUUAGAAAGGAGGGGAGUGACUAUGUUAUCAAUGGUGAAAAAAUAUGGAUUACAGGAGCUGGAGACAAGAGAAAUAAAAUC